rfam:Candidatus Peregrinibacteria bacterium CG2_30_44_17 cg2_3.0_scaffold_1781_c, whole genome shotgun sequence.
AAAUAAAUUGUAAAAAGAGCAUAGAGUGGAUGCCUUGACUCGAGAUUCCGAUGAAGGACGUGGCUAGCUGCGAUAAGCUUCGGUGAGUUGCUAAGCAAACAGUGACCCGGAGAUUUCCGAAUAGGGAAACCUAAUCAGAGUUAUGUCUGAUUACCUCGCUUAUGCGAGGAGGACACUUGGUGAACUGAAACAUCUAAGUAACCAAGGGAAAGAAAUCAAAAGAGAUCCCCUUAGUAGUGGCGAGCGAAAAGGGAAUAGCCCAAACCUCACUUCGGUGAGGGGUUGUAGGACCCAAUAUGGAUUCAUUUUCUAUUAACCAAAUAUCCCUGGGAAGGGUUACCAAAGAGGGUAAAAGUCCCGUAGGUGAAAAUAGGUUUGAAUCCUAGGAUGUUCCUGAGUAGGGUCGGACACGUGUAAUCCGGCUUGAAUCUGGGAGGACCACCUUCCAAGGCUAAAUAUAUCUCGAGAUCGAUAGUGAACUAGUACCGUGAGGGAAAGGUGAAAAGCACCCCGGAUAGGGGGAUGAAAUAGAACCUGAAACUCUAUGCUUGAAAGGAAUCGGAGCCUCUUUAUGGGGUGACGGUGUACUUUUUGUAGAACGGGCCAACGAGUUAGCUGUAUGUGGCAAGGUUAACCCCAUAAUUGGGGGCAGCCGUAGCGAAAGCGAGUCUUCACCGGCGAAUUAGUCGCAUGCACUAGACCCGAAACCAGGUGAGCUAUCCAUGGGCAGGUUGAACCUCGAGUAAAAUCGAGGGGAGGACCGAACCCACCGUUGUUGCAAGAGCGGGGGAUGACCUGUGGAUAGAGGAGAAAUUCCAAUCGAACCUGGAUAUAGCUGGUUCUCUCCGAAAUAGCUUUAGGGCUAGCCUUGAUCUUAGUGUAGCGGGGGUAGAGCUCUGUUUAGGCUAGGGGGCGAAAUAAGUCUACCAAACCUAGAUAAACUUCGAAUACCGUUAUUAACAUGAUCAGGAGUCAGACAGUGACAGCAAAGUGCCAUUGUCAAAAGGGGAACAGCCCAGAUCGCCGUUUAAGGUCCCUAAUGAAGCUUAAGUGGAAAAGGAUGUAAGAUUGUUUACACAACCAGGAUGUUGGCUUAGAAGCAGCCAUUCAUUUAAAGAGUGCGUAAUAGCUCACUGGUCUAUGUGGUCUUGCGCCGAAAAUACAACGGGGCUAAAGCUUCAACCGAAGACGCGGGAUGUAUUUAUACAUCGGUAGGAGAGCGUUCCUAGCAGCAACGAAGGUCGAAUGUAAAUUCGGCUGGAGCGCUAGGAAGUGAAAAUGUUGGCAUAAGUAACGUAAGUCAGGUGAGAACCCUGGCCACCGAAAACCUAAGGUUUCCCAAGCCACGUCAGUCGUCUUGGGGUUAGUCGGUCCUAAGGUGUAGCCGAAAGGCGAAGCCGAUGGAUAACAGGUUAAUAUUCCUGUACAGUUUAUGUUUCGUCCAAGCAAAGCUGGAACGAGAUAUUUUUUCAUCAUCUUGAAGACUUCGGUCCGAUUGAUAUCGAAAUUUUAUUAAGUGAAGGUGGCGCUAGCUAAGGAGUGACGUUUUUGGACACUCGGAGCGGAUUAAUGAAUUUCCGUGCAAGUAUCAAGCUUAUGUCCCUAUAGGUAAAUCCGUAGGGAUUCGCGAGGUGCGAUGCAAAUGCUGACCCUGUGUCAGUAGAUUCCGAUCACUUCAGGAACCAAGAAAACCUUCGUAGCGAGAAAUAUAAGCUACCGUACCGUAAACCAACACUGGUAGGUGGGUUGAGUAUACUAAGGUGAAUGAGAUAACUAUCGUUAAGGAACUCGGCAAAACAGCAGGCGUAACUUCGGGAUAAGCCUUGCCUUAUUUUGUCACUGGUUUCGAUCAUUGAUGAGAUUAGGCCGCAGCGAAAGAGCCCAUGCAACUGUUUACCAAAAACACAGGUCUCUGCUAAACCGUAAGGUGAUGUAUAGGGACUGACGCCUGCCCAGUGCCAGAAGGUCACGAGGAAGGGUUAACGCUCUGAAUCUAAGCCCUGGUGAACGGCGGCCGUAACUAUAACGGUCCUAAGGUAGCGAAAUUCCUUGUCGGGUAAGUUCCGACCCGCACGAAUGGCGUAAUGAUAUGGGCACUGUCUCGACGAUAGACUCAGUGAAAUUGCAGAAACGGUAAAAAUGCCGUUUAACCACAGUAGGACGAAAAGACCCCGUGCAGCUUUACUAUAGCUUGACAUUGAGCCCGGGCAUAUCUUGUGCAGGAUAGGUGGGAGACUAUGAAGCUUCGCGCUAGCGAAGUGGAGUCACCCUUGAGAUACCACCCUUGAUAUGUUUUGGCUCUAACACUUGCAAAACAAGUGGACAUUGUUUGGUGGGUAGUUUAUCUGGGGCGGAUGCCUCCUAAAGAGUAACGGAGGCGCGCGAUGGUUCCCUAAGCCUGGAUGGAAAUCAGGCUGAUAGUGUAUUCGCAUAAGGGAGCUUGACUGCAAGACUUACAAGUCGAGCAGGUGCGAAAGCAGGCGAAAGUGAUCCGGUAGUACCACGUGGGUGGGCUAUCGCUCAACGGAUAAAAGUUACGCCGGGGAUAACAGGCUAGUCGCUUCCAAGAGUUCACAUCGACGAAGCGGUUCGGCACCUCGAUGUCGGCUCGUCGCAUCCUGGGGCUGGAGAAGGUCCCAAGGGUAUGGCUGUUCGCCAUUUAAAGCGGUACGCGAGCUGGGUUCAGAACGUCGUGAGACAGUUCGGCCUCUAUCCUCUGUGGUUGUAGGAAUUUUGAUGGAAGCUGCCCCUAGUACGAGAGGACCGGGGUGGACAAACCUCUAGUGUAUCUGUUGUCGUGUCAACGGCAUCGCAGAGUAGCUAUGUUUGGACCGGAUAACCGCUGAAAGCAUCUAAGUGGGAAGCCGCUCCAGAGAAAAAGUUCCCUAUGAACCCGCCCGUAGACUACGGGUUUGAUAGGUCUCAGGUGUAAGCACAGAGAUGUGUUCAGCCGAGAGAUACUAAUGGGUCAUUGAUUUAUUUUU